UGGCACAGGAGAACGGGCCGUCCCUCGGCCU
rnacentral:sRNA from 1 species